AAUUCGAUUAACGCGAAGAACCUUACCAGCUCUUGGCAUCAUCUGACCACUCUAGAGAUAGAGCUUUCCCUUCGGGGACAGAUAGACAGGUGGUGCAUGGUUGUCGUCAGCUCGUGUCGUGAGAUGUUGGGUUAAGUCCCAUAACGAGCGCAACCCUUAUUGUUAGUUGCCAGCAUUCAGUUGGGCACUCUAGCGAGACUGCCGGUGAUAAACCGGAGGAAGGUGGGGAUGACGUCAAAUCAUCAUGCCCCUUAUGAGCUGGGCUACACACGUGCUACAAUGGACGGUACAACGAGUUGCGAUCCCGCAAGGGUUAGCGAAUCUUUAUAAGCCGUUCUCAGUUCGGAUUGCUCUCUGCAACUCGAGAGCAUGAAGCCGGAAUCGCUAGUAAUCG
rnacentral:rRNA from 1 species